rnacentral:rRNA from 1 species
AUGGAUCCAUCCGCCAACGCAACUCGAUCACGCACGGAGCAAGAAAGAUGGCACCACCACACCACCAUGUGUUGUUCCUCUCGGAUCGGAUCAGAACAUGGCGCCGACGACGGCGGCACCGAGGACGGCGGCCCACCUGGCGACGCCGGAGAGGGACGCGGCGGCGGACUUCUCGGUGUCGUCGUCGGCGGUGGCGUCGUCGGCCUCGGGCGCCUCGGCGAUCCCGGCGGACUUCUUCUUCUUCUUGGGCUUGGACUUGGUGGGGGCCGGGGCCGGGGCGGGCGCCGGGGUGGGCGGCUGCGGCCCGAACAGCUCGUAGGGGAGCGGCAUCUUGUCCACGGAGUAGACGGCCAGCGGGAAGUCCUUGCUCACCACGCUGCCGAGGAGCAUGUUGUUGCCCUUGACGCCGGUGGAGACGUUGACGUUGUUGCCGGAGGGCUUGAUCUUGUAGGUGUAGGGGCCGGAGUGGCCGGACGCCUGCGUGCUGACCUUGCCGUUGAGGGUGCCGAGCAUGGAGAGCGAGUAGAACCGGGGCAGCACGCAGUAGAGCACCAUCUGGAUCUGCUCCUGGGACGACAGCCCAUUGAGGGUGCCGGCCUUGAGCCCGUCGAUGGCGGCGUCGGUGGGCGCGAAGAUGGUCAGCCCGUUGUAGCUGUCCGUCAGCUGCGCGUUGAUCUGCGUCUCCACGCGGGUCUCCUUGAGCAGCUGCACGAACUUGGAGUACUUGCCGGACUUCUCCAGCAUGGCCGUCACGUCCGUGGGGGGCUUCCCGUCGGCGGCAGCCGCGCCGGGCGCGUCGGCCGCGGCCGGGGCGGGCUUCGCGGGCGCCUCGACGGCCGCGGGCGCGUCGGCGGCCGCGGGGGCCGGCUUCGCGGGCGCCUUCGCCUUCUGCGCCGACGUCAUUGCCGACGCCGCCAGGAGCAGCGCGGCGACCAGGAGGAUCCGCGACGCCGACGCCAUUGCCGUGGUGGUGUCCCGGCGGGCGAUGGGUUGGUGGGUGGGCUGGGGAGGAGGAGCUGA